UCGUCGAUACCACAGGCGAUCGGUCGAUCGAAGUCUCUCUCCACACCGAUUUUUUUCUCUCCUCCCACCUUUUUUUCAUGUUGGUCGUCCGCCCCUCUCCCACGGUCUCACCUCCCCUCGCACGAGCGAUCGAAUCGAACCCUAGAUGGCCCCCCGCCGCCGACGGCGAUCCCACUGCCUCCGUCUCCUCCGCCUCCACCCCCUCCCCUUCCCCUACACCCUGCUCCUAUCCCUAAGAUCGAGUUGCUACGCUUCCCAAUUGCUCCGCCGGCCAUGGCCUCCCACCUCCGCCUCCACCAUCACCAGCACCUCCACCGCCUCCACCUCCCGUAGUCCCGUCUCCGGCGUCCUCUCUGCAUCCCCGCGUUCUCUACUCCGCCACGGCCCCCGACGGGGGUUGGUGGCGCAGAGAUGUACUCAGACGGUGAGGGUGAGGUGGACACAGGGACUCUGAUGGGGGCCCCUCGUGGGUGAGGGUGAUGCUGGUGGAGCGGGAGGCCUCGUCGACGAUCUCGAUUCGUCCACUCCAGCUGCUACAUCUCCUCACCAUGUUGCUCGCUGAAUCGGCUCCCUCAUGGAACCAAGUCGAGGAUGUGCUACCUAUGGUUGUCAUCAUGGUCCGUAGUACCGGACUGCAGCAUGUUCUACGGCUGAUGCAUGGGCGUGUGGCUGCCCCCGCACGAGAGCUGCUGGAUGGAGCUCCUCAACGGUGCGACGAGGAGGGGAGAGGUGGAGGGAGCAGACGACGGCCGUCGUCUGCGCGGCCGACACUGACACCAGUGCAGGAGAUGACUUUGUCGUAGAUGACGUGCGAAAAGGGGAUGGUGUCCACAUUGAAUCACAGAGAGUUCAUGAGGAUUUCUUGCUAGCAUCUAGAGUUGGAUGCCCUCAGGAAGACUACCGUGAGUCAAUUUUCAUGACUGGUUUGCUCAUUUCCUAACUGCACAAUAUGGCAUAUUGCUUCUUGAUUCAGCACUUACUGCUACGUAGUAAUAAGAGGACAUAUCGGACUUUGUUUCUCGAAUUGACACUCAAUAGUAGAAGGGGUUCAUGCCUCCAAUAGUUGAUCACAAAACUGCCGUAUCAUAUGGCUUCUAGCUUAUAUCUUAUAGAGCAAGUGUGCAGCCUUUAUAUUUUCCCCCCUCUAAUUUCUAUUUUCUAGCUUUGAUUAGCUUAAAACAGGCUGAUUCUGGUAUAUAUUCAUUGGCGCAAAAACUAGAAGCUCAAUGAUAUUUUUUCUUACCACACAUAUGAAGGAUUGUGCAGACACAACUUGCAGCGUUGGAAUCAACAUCUGGUUGGUUCACAACUUUGUCAAGGAUUUGAGAACAUCGCAUGGACAUUUAGAUAUAUAUUUUUUAGCAUUUUUCAAGGUCUUGACUUAAUUUCUUUUACACUGUAAAAUAAUAGAAACAAAAAUAGGUUGUACAAUGGUAGUAUGGGUUAUGUACUCAAGUUUAUUGAAAUCAAAAGAAAAGCAGGAAAGGAGAUCCCAAGUUCAAGGCAUAUGCAGCUCCAUCCACCGAGGAAAAUAUAUACGCGGGAAAAAUUAUGUGUUCUGUUCUGCUCGAUGACAUACAAGAUUCAGUAAUGACUCCAUGAUCUCAAACAUGCCACUAGGACCACCCAGACUAAUUGAAAUUGAUUUGCUCCCUCAAUGGAGUGUUAGUCCUCUGAAAUUUUUUAUUCCUCUGAUCUCAAACAUCGUCUACGCAAGAGUCGAAGCUUCGUCUGCCACCGAUCUUCAGUUCACGCCGUUGAUGUUGUGAGGACUGGCAGGAACUCAAUGGGCGCGGAGGCGGCAACCUAGGGCGAGGGCGUCGGUGUGUUGAGAUGGCAGGGCCGCGACAGUGAGAGGACGCGAGGCGGUGAUGGUGUCGGCAACGCCGAUGUCCACCAGGAUCUAUAGCCGCAACUGAAGAACAGCUUGGGGAGGUCGUGCAGCUCCUGUGUGUAGUAAAUAAAUCGCCACCCAGAUAAAUCACCGGGACACUACCAAGUGUGUUGUUCAUUGCGCCACGAUAAAAAAUCUUGAGGCUGCCUCAGGUGCGACUCUAGCUAUUGAAAGUCAAAGAACAUGACUACUUCCGGAGUUUGAUAAGGCUUCACGGUGAGUUCUCAUUGUGGUCUAUGUGCAUAAUGGGAUGCUGGUACUUUUGUGCUACCUGUACUGAUGUUGUUAUUAAGCAGAUUUUGUCAAAGCAAUUGCUAUGUGUAUGCCAUUUUCAUGUUCUUGACGUGGCUGUUGUUUCAUGUUCUAGACAUGGAUAUGAUGAUUAACCGAUCAAACAAUUGAUUUCUAAUACUAGCAGUUGUGUUUCUUUAAAUUCUAAUACUGACAUUUUUGUUUCAUUGUUCAGCACUGAAAUUAUUCAUAUAUGGUCAUGGCUGCAGCAUAACCAUCAGGUGAAGUAGAUAAUCUGCAAGGCUAUUUACCAUCAUCCAGGUUUAUUCAACAUUCAGGUUUGUAGUAAUUUAUUCAACAUCCGGGUUUGUAGUUUCAGUUGCAUAUAGGAAUAAACAUCUGCCAUUUCUGAAUAUGUUGCAGAUGAUUUCCCAGCUUUAAGUAUAUACGAAACAUACAUUAUAUUCAGUUUCACUUGUUAUCUCCACAUGGUAAUUAAUUUGGAUAGAACCACAUAAAGUAAAUCUCAUCCAACGACGGUUUUUGUCAUGUGGUUAAAUAAUAAUAAUAAUAAUAAUAAUAAUAAUAAUAAUAAUAAUAAUAAUAAUAAUAAUAAUAAUAAUAAUAAUAAGUGGUUUCUACAGCUGGCCCAAUAAUGACCCCCACUUUAACCGACAUGAUGUCAAGCUCAAGGCUAUGAGUGACCAUCCAUAUAGUUCAUCGAGUCAUUUUCAGAUCACUAGCCCUAAUGGUGUCAAGAAAACAUGGCGGCCUUUUGGCACUUCUCUUGUAGCGAAAAUCUGACACAUGAGCAUAUCCGCGAUGCAAGGAGCUUCUGUGGUGGAUCGAAGGAGGCAUCAGGGAGAGGAAGAUAAGGAAUAGGUAUCGAUCUUUUGUUGACACAAUGGUCAUUGGUGGCGGGAACAUGAAGACCAUGGUGACUGGCUUAGUAUAGGGACUGUUCGUGAAUUUGACUUUGAGGUUGGAUAUUGAUCCCUUUUCAUAGGUUUCAUGAUUGUGAAAUGCCUAACUGACACUUUAAUUAAUUCAUUGCCUUCAGUUCAUGUAGCAUGCUGGUAACAUAAUUUGGUCCAUUACGUGAAUGAUGUGAACUUACAGAGUAGCCAUAGUACCAAAUCAUGUGUAUCAGGGAGUGGCGAAGCCAGCCUCAAGAAACUAUGGGGUCAUCGCUAUUUUUCUGGAGAAAAAAAUAUUCACAUUGUACAAUAAGUGUACAAUGUUUUUAUGCUAUUUUCAUACUAGGAUCAAUGACUCAUAAACUGAUGACCACGGCGGCCAUGACGGCGUCGGCCAGCGGAACCAUGCUAGAGUCAGGAGAAGAAAGGGAACAAACAAUAGCGGAGGACGAGCAGCAGGGAGUCAAGAUAGGAGGGGUCAUGGUCAGAGCAGCACCACGUAGGCAUAGACGAGCCGGGUGGAUAUGCUAAUUCAAAUACCAAAUGAGGAGGUGGUUGC